rnacentral:rRNA from 2 species
ACUGCAAGUCGAGCGGACUUGAUGGGAGCUUGCUCCCUGAUAGUUAGCGGCGGACGGGUGAGUAACACGUGGGCAACCUACCUUUAAGACUGGGAUAACUUCGGGAAACCGGAGCUAAUACCGGAUAAUAUGUAAGACCACAUGGUCUUACAUUGAAAGAUGGCUUCGGCUAUCACUUAUAGAUGGGCCCGCGGCGCAUUAGCUAGUUGGUGAGGUAAUGGCUCACCAAGGCGACGAUGCGUAGCCGACCUGAGAGGGUGAUCGGCCACACUGGGACUGAGACACGGCCCAGACUCCUACGGGAGGCAGCAGUAGGGAAUCUUCCGCAAUGGACGAAAGUCUGACGGAGCAACGCCGCGUGAACGAUGAAGGCUUUCGGGUCGUAAAGUUCUGUUGUUAGGGAAGAACAAGUACCAGAGUAACUGCUGGUACCUUGACGGUACCUAACCAGAAAGCCACGGCUAACUACGUGCCAGCAGCCGCGGUAAUACGUAGGUGGCAAGCGUUAUCCGGAAUUAUUGGGCGUAAAGCGCUCGCAGGCGGUCUUUUAAGUCUGAUGUGAAAGCCCACGGCUCAACCGUGGAGGGUCAUUGGAAACUGGGAGACUUGAGUGCAGAAGAGGAGAGUGGAAUUCCACGUGUAGCGGUGAAAUGCGUAGAGAUGUGGAGGAACACCAGUGGCGAAGGCGACUCUCUGGUCUGUAACUGACGCUGAGGAGCGAAAGCGUGGGGAGCGAACAGGAUUAGAUACCCUGGUAGUCCACGCCGUAAACGAUGAGUGCUAAGUGUUAGAGGGUUUCCGCCCUUUAGUGCUGCAGCUAACGCAUUAANCACUCCGCCUGGNGAGUACGGUCGCAAGACUGAAACUCAAAGGAAUUGACGGGGGCC